rnacentral:rRNA from 1 species
UUGAGAGACCAUAACACGUAGAAUGUGCCAGUUCUAGUCCAAUCACCGAAGUUAAGCUACGUUGGGCCCGGUUAGUACUUGCAUGGGAAACCGGAUGGGAAUGCCGGGUGUUGCAGACA